rnacentral:lncRNA from 1 species
CGUGACAGUGAAUAAUCUGUUAAAAAAAAAACAUGCCUGGGUGACCAGACUGGAUCAACAGACAUAAAACAUCCAUUCUCCUACAGUAAAGCGAUGCCAAGCACAUCUAAUACAAUAACUUUGAAUUUUCAACACAGUACGCAUUGGACUUAAGUUGUAAUUACCUUGUUCAAAGAGAUUGACUGCUCCAGUAGCAAUGGAUAGCUGAUGCAGUUCUUUGUUUUAAAAAGAUUGGAAAUAUUUUUAAGAUCUUUGCUUCUUAGGUAUGUAAAAAGACAUGCCUUGUUUGAUGUUAAAAAACCCUUGAGUUAUAAAAAGCUGCUGUGUUUCUAAGUUAGCACUCAUAAGCAUAUAAAUAUAGCCUCUGAUGAGAUAGUGCUAUUAUUCUAACUCAAAAAAGGAACUCCUCCUACAAACACAAUAAAUCAAGUUUUCUUAAUCCAAGGAAAAAUUCUCCAAGAAGGAAAGAUGCUAGACAGCAAACAAAGUAAUCAAUUAGCUCCUUAAAGUAAAUGCAACUGCAUCUUAAUUUGUAACUAUUUUUAACAAGCAAUUUAUACAUCAAAAUGAAAGGAACCAAAAGAUCAAAACUGAUAAUCAUAGACUCCAAUCUUAUAGUUUCAAAGUUUCCUCUUUUUACCCAAUUUAUAGAUUCACAUGUAAACAAAUUCUAAAAGAUUCAUAUUGUUCACUAGAAAAAGAAAACUCACCCAUCGCUACACAAUCAAAUAUAAAUACAUGGGGAUAUCAUCUAGAAUCCUUACUGAUAGUUUGGCUCAAAUUGAAAUGCAAAACAACUCUUUUGAGCCCCAAAGUUCAUUUACUUCCCACAAGGAAUAGAAGUACUAUCAACGAACCCAAACAGAAAAAAUGUACCCAAACAAAAAAUAACUUCAGUUUGCUCUGCUGAAUCGUCAAGAAAAAUUAGAAACUCAUGUUCUUUCCUUCCCAAUUAAAUACUUUUUUCUUUCUAUACGUGAUGGUAGAAAUAAAAUAAAGAAAUAAAUGAACCAGAAGACACCGAUUUAGGCUCUCAUUUCUUUUCUCGCCGAGCAUUUUUCUUUCCUUCAACAUCCCCGCAGCCGAAACCUAGCUAAGUGCUUAACAAACCAAAAAUCUUCUCAAGAACAGAAAUUCCCAAAACAUUAUUUGAUAAAAUGUAGUAAUAUAACAAAUAAAAAAUUGAAGAGAAAAGAGAGCAGAGAAAAUUUACCCCAAUGAUUUUAACAAGCUGUCCGUCACGUGCAAAGCGAAGGUCAGAGUCAGGGAGUGAGCGAAGGAAGAAAGAAAUAGCAGCUUUAUUAUGCUUCCAGUUAAAAGUAUUCCAGGCUAGGAAAGAAAAGACUAAAGCAGAGAGGAAAAGCAGAGAAAGGAAGAAAGCAGCGUUGUGUNNNNN